UACGAAAGGUGCAAGCGUUGUCCGGAUUUACUGGGCGUAAAGAGCGCGUAGGCGGUCUUGUAAGUGUGAAGUGAAAUCUCCAGGGCUCAACCCGGAAACUGCUUUGCAUACUGCGAGACUAGAGGGAUGCAGAGGUUUGUGGAAUUCCUGGUGUAGCGGUGAAAUGCGUUGAUAUCAGGAGGAACACCCAUGGCGAAGGCAGCAAACUGGGCAUCAUCUGACGCUGAGGCGCGAGAGCGUGGGUAGCAAACAGG
rnacentral:rRNA from 1 species